rnacentral:rRNA from 1 species
AUUGAACGCUGGCGGCAGGCCUAACACAUGCAAGUCGAGCGACAGCGGGAAAGUAGCUUGCUACUUUUGCCGGCGAGCGGCGGACGGGUGAGUAAUGCCUGGGAAAUUGCCCAGUCGAGGGGGAUAACAGUUGGAAACGACUGCUAAUACCGCAUACGCCCUACGGGGGAAAGCAGGGGACCUUCGGGCCUUGCGCGAUUGGAUAUGCCCAGGUGGGAUUAGCUAGUUGGUGAGGUAAUGGCUCACCAAGGCGACGAUCCCUAGCUGGUCUGAGAGGAUGAUCAGCCUCUGGAACUGAGACACGGUCCAGACUCCUACGGGAGGCAGCAGUGGGGAAUAUUGCACAAUGGGGGAAACCCUGAUGCAGCCAUGCCGCGUGUGUGAAGAAGGCCUUCGGGUUGUAAAGCACUUUCAGCGAGGAGGAAAGGUUGGUGCCUAAUACGUAUCAACUGUGACGUUACUCGCAGAAGAAGCACCGGCUAACUCCGUGCCAGCCGCCGCCGUAACAC